rnacentral:rRNA from 1 species
CCUACGGGUGGCAGCAGUGGGGAAUAUUGCACAAUGGGCGAAACCCUGAUGCAGCGACGCCGCGUGAGUGAAGAAGGAAUUCGGUAUGUAAAGCUCUAUCAGCAGGGAAGAAAAUGACGGUACCUGAGUAAGAAUCCCCGGCUAACUACGUGCCAGCAGCCGCGGUAAUACGUAGGGGGCACGCGUUAUCCGGAUUUACUGGGUGUAAAGGGAGCGUAGACGGCAGUGCAAGUCUGGAGUGAAAGGCGGGGGCUCAACCCCCGGACUGCUCUGGAAACUGUACGGCUGGAGUGCAGGAGAGGUAAGUGGAAUUCCUAGUGUAGCGGUGAAAUGCGUAGAUAUUAGGAGGAACACCAGUGGCGAAGGCGACUUACUGGACUGUAACUGACGUUGAGGCUCGAAAGCGUGGGGAGCAAACAGGAUUAGAUACCCGAGUAGUC